CUUUAUCAAAUCACUACUGGGCUGGAGUCCGUAUUUCAGCGGCUCUGCUCGAUCGUUGCACUGCAAUCCAUGUUCCAAUAUUGGUUAUUUCAGCUUGCAGAUCAGGUACAUGCUUCCUAAGAGUAGUGCUGCGCAGUCUCACUCUAUUUCCAUGUUUUAGGAGAGGUUCGGCGCAACUUUAUAAUGUGUUGUGUGUGAUCCAUUGAGUACAUCUAUUUUUUUUUUCUAGUGAAAAUUGACUACAACUUCUUUAAGAUCAUCUUUCUCUGAUCUUUUUUAAUUAUGAUGAUGGUGAUAGUGCUGACAAUAAAAGUGAUGGAGGGUGUGGUAGAGGUUGGAUUGAUGGAUGUUGCUACAGAUCUAUAGACUGAUGUGUAUGAUUGGAGGCAUCGGACUCCUUCUGACCCAAGGCUCGAUCCUGAUCCGAGGAUUGGCACGACUACAAAAAUCUGCAACGUAAGUCCACUUUUGUCGAAGAUUUUCUGAUGGAGGACUCCCCGAUGCUUAAGUCAGCUGGAGCCUAAGAGCAGUAAAGAAAAAAAAAAUAAGAAUAUG
rnacentral:lncRNA from 1 species